ACAGAUUGAGAGCUCUUUCUUGAUUCGGUGGUUGGUNNUGCAUGGCCGUUCUUAGUUGGUGGAGUGAUUUGUCUGGUUUAUUCCGAUAACGAGCGAGACUCUAGCCUAUUAAAUAGUCAUCGGAUAAACAAGUCCGGAAGACUUCUUAGAGGGACAAGCGGUAUUCAGCCGCAUGAAG
rnacentral:rRNA from 1 species